AGCACCCGAGGGCAGGACAAGAAACAAUGGUUGGAAACUGAUCAAAGAGAGAAGCAACCUGGAAUUAAGGCAGCAUCAGCUGGAGGUGACCAGCAAUUGGCCCUCACCCACUUCACACACAUCCAGCUCUGUGGACUCUGAGGGAGGAGACUCCGCAAGUGACAUGCCCCCCAGCCUGGGAUAUUUAAGGGAUUUCAAUUGAUCUUGAUAAAAAAAUUGUUACUUCUCAAAAUAGGAUUUCUAUUGGAAGCAGCAAAGGAACUGCUCCCUUUUCAUCUUCUGGAACAGUAGAAGCCUAAUUUACACGGGUGACUUUUUUUGCAUGUGACUUAGGGUAGAACCCAGUUGGCAGAUUUUUAUGAUGCCAAUGAAUCCCAUCUUGUGAAAGGUGUUUUGGAGACUUACACUGAGGACCUGAUGAGCUAAUCAUCCCUGAAGGAGUGGGGAUGUCAUUACAAUAUAAAUUAGCAAUGAGAAGCUGGAUUCUGACCACCAAAAUUUCUCCAGAACAAGGAAAGAUCAUUCACAUGUACUCUGGAUUUCUUUUCUGAAGUACUCUGCACGAUCCAAUUUGUUUGUGGUCAGUUGGUACUGAAGGGGCAUAUAAUAGUACUCUAUCUUCUUUUUUCACCACAAACCAACCUUGUGAAACUGAUUGGGUUGAGAAGGAGGGACUGUGUCAGAAUCAUUGAGUUUCUACAGUGAAGGUAGACAAGAAGCUGACUGUUGCUGUUCCUACUCCAACACCAUAAUAAUGCUAUGCAGAAGAAGUUAACUUUGAAGCAAGCAAUAGCAAAGGCAUGCAGUGGUAUACAUUUUAUAUUCACUCUUUAUUUUUCUUCCCCCUGGAAAUAAGAGAUUGCUCAAAUGACAGAAAGAUGCCAAAUAAAAAAUAUAUCUGGCUAAGUAAUCAUACAAUAACACAUUUUCAUGCUCUGCAUUGUAUUAUUUAAAAUAUUGCACACAACACCAUUCUGAGACUUUUUCAGAUAUAGAAAUUAUCAAGUAUUUUUAUCUUGUAGAUCUCGUUCUACAUCCCUUCUUGCCAAUUUGUUAAUAUAUAAAGUUAGUCAUCAUUAGAGAGAGAAAUUCUGGCUAAAACAAAUAAUGAAAUCCAACAAGCCUUGAUGUAAUUUUUCAGUCUUGGAAUAGUUACCCAACCAGAAAUAUUCAUUUUAACAACACUGAUAACAAAAUAGAAUAUAGUUAUUUGCUUCAUUAAGUUGUAUCAAUAUUGACCAUAGCUUGGCAGCUUCCUAUAUAUAAUGGUAAUUGGUACUCAACUGCUUUGAAACUCAUUUGGUACUCAACAUAUUUUGAUGUGAAAAUUUUGUCCAGGUCAUUGUUUGUUUGGUAUUCAACGAACAAGCUGGAACUUGUUGGGAUUAGUUGCCUUAUAAUUCACUACAUUAUUUCUCAUAGAAAAAAUUUGAUUGAUAUUGAUAUUCAUCAUUUUUGGUAUUCAUUGUGCCCCUCAGAACCAAUUAAACUGUCAAUGCUGCAAAUACUGUAUAUUCUUGCUUUGACAAUAUGCAAAACUGUCUGGUAUUUACUGGGUUAAUACAUAGCUUAGA